GCUAGGUGUGGUGGUGCACACCUGUAAUCCCAGUGGCUCAAGAGGCUGAGGCAGGAGGAUCACGAAUUCAAAGCCAGCCUCAGCAAAAAGUGAGGCACUAAGCAACUCAAUGAGACCCUAUCUCUA
rnacentral:sRNA from 1 species